GACGAACGCUGGCGGCGUGCUUAACACAUGCAAGUCGAACGGAAAGGCCCUGCUUUUGUGGGGUGCUCGAGUGGCGAACGGGUGAGUAACACGUGAGUAACCUGCCCUUGACUUUGGGAUAACUUCAGGAAACUGGGGCUAAUACCGGAUAGGAGCUCCUGCUGCAUGGUGGGGGUUGGAAAGUUUCGGCGGUUGGGGAUGGACUCGCGGCUUAUCAGCUUGUUGGUGGGGUAGUGGCUUACCAAGGCUUUGACGGGUAGCCGGCCUGGGAGGGUGACCGGCCACAUUGGGACUGAGAGACGGCCCAGACGCCUACGGGAGGCAGCAGGGGGGAAUAUUGCACAAUGGGCGGAAGCCUGAUGCAGCAACGCCGCGUGCGGGAUGACGGCCUUCGGGUUGUAAACCGCUUUCGCCUGUGACGAAGCGUGAGUGACGGUAAUGGGUAAAGAAGCACCGGCUAACUACGUG
rnacentral:rRNA from 1 species